AUGUAGAAAAAGGAAAUAUAAAUAUAAAUAUAAAUAUAAAUAUGGAUAUGUAUUUAUAUUUUUUUAUCUGAAAGAAGCAGAAGACCUAUUUUUAUCUAUUGAGGAUUUAAGGAACCUUCAAAUUUAUCGUCUCUGCCAGAUUUAGGGGUUUAGAAAAUUGAUUUAGUGAAAGGGUGGGUCGCUUGUCAAGGUUGGAUCUUUGAUAAGAUUUGUUGCGGUGAGGUAUAUCUGCUCUUAGGUUUUAGCUCAGCCUAUUUUUCACUAUAACCCUGGCGCAUGUUUCUAUCUCUGUUUGGUUCCCGAGAAAAUUGAGGAAAGCGAUGGAAAUUCCAUUUUGAGGACACUAUUUUUUUGUUAAUUUUGAAGCUUGACAUCGAGCAGAAUUUAUCUGGACCUCAGAUACUUUGUACAAUCAAGUCUGUGGAAAAAUGCCUCGGGAUUUGUCGCGAUCGCGAUCACCCUCAUAUAGGCGAAGGCGUUCGCCAUCACCGUUGGGGCAUAGGUAUAGCCGAAGGGACAGGAGCCGAAGGGACAGGAGCCGAUCUCCUUAUUCAUCCUAUUCUUAUAGCAGGUGAUCCCGUUUAUGUUCUCUCUAUUUAAGUUGAUCUAAUUUUAUCCUCAAGAAGAAUUGUAAGAAACAUUGACGACUCAUGUAUUUGUGUUGCCGAUUGGAAAUACAAAUUGUUCAAGUUGAUCUGUACGCAUCUUAUCCUUCUCCAUUGAUCUUUUGGUGCUUAUAUAUCCUUUGUUUUUUCUCUCCCUAUUAUGCAUGUUCUCUAUAUCAUUUUUCUCAAGUUUUAUCUUGAAUGACAUCUGAAUUUGAUUUUAUUAACUUAAAAAGUUAAGUUAGACAACUUGACUGCCAACUUAAGGCAUUGGUAUCAUUUUAAAAUCCCAUUAUGCAGAACUUGGUCUUGUUAUCUUGAUAAAUGCAUUUUUGGCCUUCAUUUUUAAUCUUACUGUAGUUAAAAACAUUUUGCAACUUCUCUUUUUUACAUAGGGACUACAUAUGUGAUUCUAAAAUUCCUGUGUUGUAACACAUAUUUAGUAUUUCAAAGUUCAACUGAUAAUCAAUGUUAACUAUCAAUAUCUCGAUCGGCUUCUGCUUUUGGGGAGCUUGCAAUUUGCAUGGAAAAGUGGAGAGAUGCCAAAAAAUAUUCUUUUGGAGAGAAGUACAAAGAGUGCUUUAAGAGUGCCAUAGGAUUCAUGCUCUUUGUAAGAAAUUUAAAAAACUCAGGUUCUUCUCAUCAUAUGGGAUGGGAAGUGAGCAGGUGAUGGGUGCCGAUGGGUGUCCUUUUGUUGCUCGAUUGUGAUAUUAGCUUCUUCAUGUGAUAAAAGAUGGAGCACACAAUGGUUAUUCUUAACAUUGUAUGAGGUAACUGUAUUGCUUCUAUUUUAAUUGCGAUAAAUGGUGGGAGGCUUUGAAUUUAUUAUGUAUGCUAAUUGUGCGCUUUUCAUUGUUGUUACUCAAUAAUUUCUUUAUAUUACACAGACGAAGAAGUCGUUCUAUUUCUCCACGACGUCGCAAAAGUCGUUCUCCAACUCCAAGGCGUUAUAAGAGGCAAAGAAGUAGGAGUUCGUCAUUGUCUCCUACUCUUAAAUCUUCUAGCCCAAGUCUUGGAUCAAUGGAGCGCAAAAUUGUUAGUGAAAAAUUGAGAAAAGAAGAUGAAGAAGAGAAGAAGAGGAGGUAAGUGAACAUGUGGCGUGGAUUUAAACACAAUAUUGCUGGUAAUUGCUUUAGAUUGGCCUUGUACUGGAGUGAAAAUAAUAGGUAAUUUUGAUAAUUUAUUGCUUUAUAUAAAUUCUUUAUGUGCUGCUAGACCUUUAUAUCUGUACCUAUCCCCCACCAAAAAAAGGUGCAAAAUUUAAUGUUUUUUAUUUAUGAUAUACUGUGCAGUAUCAAUGUCAUUGCUGCAUCAUUUCCCUACUUCAAUACUAUUGAAGAACUAUACUUCAACAGAAGCAUUUUGGUCCACUAAUUAUGAGUAAAUUCAUUAACUAUUUAGACAUAAUAAGAUGAACUUCAUUCUUUUCUUUUCCUGAUGCCUUCAAUCUAACCUCCUGUUUAUUGUUAUUAAACACCACAUGUUAUGGCAGAAAAUAACCAUUUUUAAAGAAUAUAUUUCAUGUAUUGGGAAUUUAUAUUUAUUAUUUCCCAUUUCUAGUAUGUUGUAUUGUUUAAUUAUGCACGUUGUUAUAACGUGCAUUCCAUGAAUAAAGGUUGUCAUGGUUCACUCUAUGUUGAUCUAAUGUUAUUAAAGGCGCCGGGCGAUGCGAGGCCUCUUGCAAGAGGCAAGCUCCUUUCCUCGCCCGGCUCAAGGUGCAAGGUGAGGGGAGGGGAGGCAAGGCAAGGUGAGGCGAGGCAAGGUGAGGCAUCGCCUCUUGAAAACAACAUGCAAGCCUUUUUUUGUUCUUUCUUUUUAAAGACUAAAUCCUAAUACAUAUUUCCCUUUGAAGCAGUCCGAUUGGAGAACUAAAUUUUAGGUACUAAAUAGAGAUAUAUCCCCAUAAUUAUGCCUUAUUAAUUAGGAAUUUAUAUCCUAUAAUUAUGCUAAUUAAUUGGAGAUGUAUUAAUUUCUAAUUAGUUUGCAUAAUUAUAGGGAUAUAUAUAUGUUAUCUGAUUAGUAAAGAAAUAAUAAUAUUUAUAUAGUUCACUUCCAUCAUUCAAGUAUAUUCCAAUAUUGAAAAAGAUUAUAUAUUUAUAUACAAGUAUGCCUAUAAUUCAGCCAUCUAAUUAGGAAUAUACAUCCUCACAAUUAUGCUAACUGAUUAACUAAUGAAGAAGGAAUUAUUACAAUAUCUAUACAUAAAUGUGUACAUUUAUGUCUGUACAUUAUACAUACACAUACAUGUAUAUACACACUAACACAGACAUAUAUGUGUAUAUAAGUAUGGCGCCCCACUUCAAAAAGGCGUCACUUUGCCUCUCGCAGCGAUAGGGGACCUGUCACCUUAGUGUUGCCUCUUGCCUUGAUAACCUUGUGUUGAUCCAACAUGAUACAAGUGUUUUUGCCUUUUGGGGUUGCAGUUAGGAGUUCCUUAAGAAGCUCCCAUCGCCAAUUAAAAAUAACUUGUUUCCUAACCCAUUUACUGACAGAUCUUUGUUUUAUUUAUGAGUUUCGAGAAAAGGGUAUGAGUUCAUCUAUAGUUUAGACUGUGGUAAAAUAGAAAGUACAGGAUUUUCAACUAUAGGCCCGUUUAUGUAAGUAGUGGCACUGUGACACAUCACUUUACUUCUUGGCAGUUGGCACAAACUUCCUCAUUUAGAAUACCCAAUAUAUUGAUUAUAUGUAACAGUAUAGAAAUACUUUAACCAGAGGUGAUUUGGAGUUUAUUCAAUAAAUCGAGUACCUUCUGAUAUUCUACCAUUGACAAAUGUAUCCAGCUCAGUUGACCCUUGUUUCAUAAGCCUGUGUCGAGUCUGUUGAAAAGCUGUCCAGUUUGACAUCCAAUUGUGUUGCAUGCCUUUAAUCAGACUGCAAAUCCUCGCAAAGGACUUUCUUGACAUCAAAUUCAUAUUGCCUGCUUGCAUCAUUAGUGUUUUGUGUCUGCUUGUUUAUGUUUCUUUUUAAACAUGGAAUUACUGGAUUUUGCAAUUGCAUUUGGGGCUUGUUUUCUUGGACUAUUGACAUGCCACCCAAAAAAAAAAAAGGAGAAAAUGAACAUAUAGGGAUUUUCCAGUUGCAAAUUGUAUUUUUGGUGCUAGAAUUCAACUAUUUCAGUGAUUAGUUUUAAAGCUGCAGCAGGUUACUUGACAUUCUUCUCUACAGGCUUUUCUGAAGGAAGAUACUGCUAUAGUUCAACUUGUUAUAUUUGAUGAUGAAAUUGGGUGCUUUGUUUAUCUACUGUUCACCAGUUUUGAUACUCAUUUGUUUGGAUCAGGAUUCGGUUAGAGGUAUGCUGUAGUUCAUCAUGAUGCAUAAACAUAAUAAUAGUGCCUUUGUCAUUUUGAAGGCGUCAACAGGAAGCGGAGCUAAAACUUAUAGAAGAGGAGACAGCAAAGAGGGUAGAAGAAGCUAUUCGGAGGAAAGUUGAAGAGAGCUUGAAUUCUGAGGAGAUCAAGCUGGAGAUACAAAGACGUUUGGAGGAGGGAAGAAAAAGACUUAAUGAAGAAGUUGCCAUUCAACUUGAGAAAGAAAAAGGAGUUGCUCUUAUUGAGGCUAGGAGAAAAGAGGAACAAGCUCGAAAGGAGAAAGAAGAGCUGGAAAAAAUGCUCGAGGAGAACCGAAGGAGGGUGGAAGAAGCUCAGAGAAGGGAAGCAUUAGAACAACAGCAGAGAGAGGAGGAACGGUAUCGAGAAUUAGAAGAGCUUCAAAGACACAAAGAAGAAGCAAUGAAAAGAAAGAAGCAGCAGGA